UCUGAGCACGGACCGAGGGGCGCGGGAAUAGCUGAGGUGGCACGGUUUUCCGGGUUUAUUGGGGGUAAGGAGCGGGUCUGCGGCCAGGCAGGUCCGUUGGGAAAUCUUGAGGCUCAACUUCCAGACGUCGAUGGAAACCGCCCGGCUAGAGUCCGGAAGAGGAGAGUGGAAUUCCUGGUGUAGCGGUGAAAUGCGCAGAUAUCAGGAAGAACACCAAUGGCGAAGGCAGCUCUCUGGGACGGUACUGACGCUGAGACGCGAAAGCGUGGGGAGCGAACAGGAUUAGAUACCCUUGUAGUC
rnacentral:rRNA from 1 species